rnacentral:rRNA from 1 species
GACGAACGCUGGCGGCGUGCUUAACACAUGCAAGUCGAACGGAAAGGCCCUGCUUUUGUGGGGUGCUCGAGUGGCGAACGGGUGAGUAACACGUGAGUAACCUGCCCUUGACUUUGGGAUAACUUCAGGAAACUGGGGCUAAUACCGGAUAGGAGCUCCUGCUGCAUGGUGGGGGUUGGAAAGUUUCGGCGGUUGGGGAUGGACUCGCGGCUUAUCAGCUUGUUGGUGGGGUAGUGGCUUACCAAGGCUUUGACGGGUAGCCGGCCUGAGAGGGUGACCGGCGACAUUGGGACUGAGAUACGGCGCAGACUCCUACGGGAGGCAGCAGUGGGGAGUAUUGCACAAUGGGCGGAAGCCUGAUGCAGCAACGCCGCGUGCGGGAUGACGGCCUUCGGGUUGUGAACCGCUUUCGCCUGUGACGAAGCGUGAGUGACGGUAAUGGGUAAAGAAGCACCGGCUAACUACGUG